ACAACCUUCCACUUUCCCACCACCACCAACAGAAGGCCCCACCACCACCAGCUGCCCUACAUAGAGCAAUCUGUCAUCAGCAUCUGGCUCCGAGGAGCAUACCUUGGAGAUGAGGCCUACCCCAAACUAUUCAAUACAAUUCCAUAUUGCAUUCAGUCUCUGUUGUCAUUCAGUUAAGCCUGUACUCAAUUGAAUUUGAUUUGACGUGUUUUCACUUUAUCAAUGGAGCUGAAUCUGCUCUUUCUAUAGGAUUCAUCUUUCUGUAGCUGAUUGGCUAUCUAUCUACAGACGCCCAUUCAGAACCACCAAUAAGUGUCACUCUACCGGAUAAUCUGUUGGGGAGGAAGAUGCAUCUGUUGGAAAUGGACUGCCCAUUCCAGGAUCUCCUAGGAUCCCAUGAGUGAGGGGUCUCCACAUGAGAGAGAUGGGAUGGCCUUACACAUGCCAUUUGCAUGUGCGGUGGCCGGAGUGACCAGUGCCUGAGGGGUUGCCUCAGAACCAUCGGAUUGACUGAGCUCUGUGUUAUCAGUUGGCCAGAGGUGCAACAAUAAGGCUUAAUGCGUGAUUAAGUCCCAUAUCGCCUGUCAUUAUGGGAGAGCUAGU